rnacentral:lncRNA from 1 species
GUGGAAGUAUGGGUAUCUUGCUGGAGGUUCCUGCCUACCUGAGGCCUUCCAAGGGAACUCCGGGCUGAUGUGGAGAAGGGCAGGGGAAAAUUGCCUCCCGGAUGAGGUAUACGGCAAGAGCAGGUGUUUGGCAGCGAAGAAGGAGGUUGGAGGAAAUCAGAAGUGUUUCAGCCCCUUGAAGCUUUCUGGUACCUGGAAGCCUCCUCACUUCCACCUAGCGUCUUUCACCACUGCCCAUAGCCACCUGAAGUUCACGUAUGUUACAAUAUCAGGCGUGAGCUGUGCUCCAGCACGCGCUGAUGGGAAUAGUCCGAGAAGACUGGCUACAGAAGGCAUUACCUGCCACGUAAG